rnacentral:lncRNA from 1 species
CCAUCUAUACCCUAUUAGUUCACAUCUUGUCUACAUGGGCGUUAAAUUCAUCACAUUCAAUCAACAAUUAAAGACAAUUCAGACUUUAUACUUUUUACAAUUUAAUCCUUAUUAACAUGAAAGUUUACUAUACUCUAUAACUCCACUAUAAUAUCACUUUUCAUUUAUUCACUAUUACAUCACACUUCAUUCGAACCCUAUUUAUCAAUAUUUUAGCUCACAUGUCUACUUUGUACACAUUACAAUCUAGUCCUUUCUUACUACUAUUGCAAUACACUUAAUCUAUUCACUUUGUAAUUAAAAUUCAAUUCAUAUUUUCACUACUCAUUAAUCAAUUUUCAUAUAUAAUAUUGACAUAUUGACAUAUAAAUUAAACAUAUAACUGUUUUGAUAUUACUUACAAUGGGGUUAAAUUAGGGAAAGUAAAAUUCUCGAAGUGCUUACAAUCAAGUGUUUGGAUGAGCCUCUUUCUUCUUCCUUCACUCUUUUGCUACUUCUUUCCUCUUAUCAAGACCUUGUUGAUCACCUCUCUUCUCUUUCUCUUCAUUAGCAUGUCACACGUAUACAAGAUUUAAUGUCAAAACAUAAUCAGAUAUCACUUCCAUGCACUUUUAAUGAAAUAAAUAUGAACUUCUUGAAGAAAUUUUAUCAUCCUUACCUUGAACUUUUACCCAAAACCCUAACUUCACUUUUCUAUCUUCCAGUAUGAGCACUAGUUAACUUUACAAGAAACUAAGCUUUCUAUGAGAUUACUCUAUUGAUUUUAGUAAAAAUCCAUGGAAGAAUUUGAAGUUUUUAAGCUCAAGGUGGUUGGAAAUGGUAGAGAGGACUUAUUUGAAAAAAAAAACAAAAGUUUUCUUCACACAUGCAUGAAGAUGACAUGAAGAUGGAGAAAAAAAUGGUGAUAUUCUACAUCGUCUACCAAAAUAUCUGAUUAACUUAAUAAGCAAAAUAUUAAAAUGUUAUAUAAAAAAAAAGAAAUUCUACCCAUCAUCUUUU